UACAGAGGUCCCAAGCGUUACUGAGAAUCACUGGGUUUAAAGGGUGCGUAGGUGGUCCGUUAAGUCAGUUGUGAAAUCCCCGGGCUCAACCCGGGAACUGCUUCUGAUACUGGCGGACUUGAGGCCAGUAGAGGUCACUGGAACUGACGGUGGAGCGGUGAAAUGCGUAGAUAUCGCCAGGAACGCCGGUGGUGAAGACGGGUGACUGGGCUGGUUCUGACACUGAGGCACGAAAGCGUGGGGAGCGAACGGG
rnacentral:rRNA from 1 species